CAGCAAGACAGCUGAGUUAAGCCAUCUUGUGCUCGGCACUCUGCAAUUCACACACCUUGUGACCAUGCCAAAAACAAAAUGCCAUUAAUGUGUGUUUUAAGGGGCUGAGAAAAUGUUAGGCAUUGCUUGUAGCGUUGGACAUGAUGUUGAGGUCUGAUAUUCAAUAUUGGUAGUCAGAGAAAGGUGUGUCUUUAAAUGAUAACGUGACAUCCAUUCAAGUUCAAACAAAUUGUGAUUCGUGAUCCGAAUUCUGGGCAAUCGUAGGUCGCCUGAAGUCUGUAACUCAGAAUUGUCAUAUGACUGUAUCACAAAACAAAAAUAAAUGGACAGUGAACAAGCCAUUUUAUUUGAUUUGUGAUUCGAAGUUCUUGGAAAGGCACCAAAAAAAAAGGAACAUGAUGUUUGCAGUGUACUUCAGUGCCACUACCGAUGCCUUGCAAAUUGCAAUACAAUUUGUGGCAGUUUAAUGCACAAGUGAACAUUAAAUAUUAGUAACUUUCUUUUCUUGUGAGUGU